UCCUACGGGGGGCAGCAGUGAGGAAUAUUGGUCAAUGGGCGGAAGCCUGAACCAGCCAAGUCGCGUGAGGGAAUAAGGCCCUACGGGUCGUAAACCUCUUUUGCCGGGGAGCAAGGGCGGGGACGUGUCCCGGCCCGGAGAGUACCCGGAGAAAAAGCAUCGGCUAACUCCGUGCCAGCAGCCGCGGUAAUACGGAGGAUGCGAGCGUUAUCCGGAUUUAUUGGGUUUAAAGGGUGCGUAGGCGGGCUUUUAAGUCGGCGGUAAAAAUUCGGGGCUCACACCCGGCCGGCCGUUGAAACUGGGGG
rnacentral:rRNA from 1 species